AACUUAUAUUGGUUACAAUCUGGGAAUUCUUAAAGUCAAGUUGUAAAUUUUAACAAAGCUGGAAGCUGCAUAUAUAAUCUGUGCAAGCUAAAAACAUAUAUAUGUGUGGCCUUAGUCUGUGUCAACAUCCUAUUUGUAAAGAAAUCAAAUCAUACUGUUACAUGCAUGACCUCAAUAGUCUGUACUUCAAGAGCUUCAACUGAUCAGGUACUUUAUAGAACAUACCAUGUAGCUGCACAACUAAAUGAUUUAUCAUGGCAUCCCUUUCAAGAUGGAGAAUGUGUGUGUUGUGCUGGAUUAAAUUAGGCGUGCACAUUUAAUUCAAAAUCAAGUAUACUGGAAGAUCAUGAAGUUUUCUAAGGAUGUAUGGGUAUUCACUUUAUUGUUUUGGAUUUUUGUAUUCUUACGAGUAGUGCUUGGUGACAAAAUCGUGUACAUAUUCCUAGCUUUUCCCUAACUAUAACAUUUACCUUCAUUUUUUGUUAAAUACACUUGGUGCAGAUAACUUACAUAAGGAUAGUGGUUAGCCAUAAUAUUUUGGAAUAUCAUCUUCCUUAUAAAAACAGCAACUAGCACAGGCCCAAGGGAUACACGUCCCGGUGCCCCCCACCACCCGUUCAUUAUCCUUGGUCUUCACCUCCACCUACACCUACAUCUCCAUCUACCGAACAUCAGACCCCUCCAACUACCUUGCCGACGCAUGAACGAGAAGACGGGUUAGGCUUUGUCGAAACCCUCUUCGCUAGUGGAGGUAUCGACCAUCACUCGUCACUGUAACCCGAUGGUGAUCGGCGACCGUGAGCUUCCAUGUUUUGUGUUCUGAUACUUGAGACUUUUAUUAUGACUAUGUAUAAGAUAUUGUCUCUUAUUAGUAUUGGAUGAUGAGAUGUAUCUUAUUAUGACUAUGGAUGAGACUUUUGUGAUGUAAUUGAUGAGACUAUGGAUUUAAAUAUUGUUAUGUGAUUG